rnacentral:rRNA from 1 species
AAUCAACGCUGGCGGCGUGCCUAACACAUGCAAGUCGAACGCGAAAGUCCCGCAAGGGAUUAGUAGAGUGGCAAACGGGUGAGUAACACGUGGGUGACCUGCCUUCGAGUGGGGGAUAACGUCCCGAAAGGGACGCUAAUACCGCAUAACAUCCUGCCUUUGAAGAGGUGGAGAUCAAAGCUGGGGACCGCAAGGCCUGGCGCUGGAAGGAGGGGCCCGCGUCUGAUUAGCUAGNGGUGAGGUAACGGCUCACCAAGGCAACGAUCAGUAUCCGGCCUGAGAGGGCGGACGGACACACUGGGACUGAGACACGGCCCAGACUCCUACGGGAGGCAGCAGUGGGGAAUUGUUCGCAAUGGGCGCAAGCCUGACGACGCAACGCCGCGUGGAGGAUGAAGACC